GAUGAACGCUAGCGGGAGGCCUAACACAUGCAAGCCGAGCGGUAUUGUUUCUUCGGAAAUGAGAGAGCGGCGUACGGGUGCGGAACACGUGUGCAACCUGCCUUUAUCUGGGGGAUAGCCUUUCGAAAGGAAGAUUAAUACUCCAUAAUAUAUUGAACGGCAUCGUUUAAUAUUGAAAGCUCCGGCGGAUAGAGAUGGGCACGCGCAAGAUUAGCUAGUUGGUGAGGUAACGGCUCACCAAGGCGAUGAUCUUUAGGGGGCCUGAGAGGGUGAUCCCCCAAACUGGUACUGAGGCACGGACCAGACUCCUACGGGAGGCAGCAGUGAGGAAUAUUGGUCAAUGGGUGCAAGCCUGAACCAGCCAUCCCGUGUGAAGGACGACUGCCCUAUGGGUUGUAAACUUCUUUUGUAUAGGGAUAAACCUACUCUCGUGAGGGUAGCUGAAGGUACUAUACGAAUAAGCACCGGCUAACUCCGUGCCAGCCGCCGCGGUAAGAC
rnacentral:rRNA from 1 species